AUACGGAGGGUGCGAGCGUUAAUCGGAAUUACUGGGCGUAAAGCGUGCGUAGGCGGUUUGCUAAGUCAGAUGUGAAAGCCCCGGGCUUAACCUGGGAACUGCAUUUGAUACUGGCAGACUAGAGUAUGAUAGAGGGGGGUAGAAUUCCUGGUGUAGCGGUGAAAUGCGUAGAUAUCGGAAGGAACACCAGUGGCGAAGGCGGCUUUCUGGACUGAUACUGACACUGAGGCGCGGAAGCGUGGGGAGCGAACAGGAUUAGAUACCCGAGUAGUCC
rnacentral:rRNA from 1 species